GCUGGCGCACUGACGUCUUCAAAUUCACCAACCCCUCACUCACUGACUCACCCAGAACAAUUUCCAGUCUCACAAGCCCCAUUCAUGGCCUUCGGAAUUGG